AGAGUUUGAUCAUGGCUCAGAGUGAACGCUGGCGGCGUGCUUAACACAUGCAAGUCGAACGAGAACGGUCCUUGCUUGCAAGGAUGUCAGCUAAGUGGCGCACGGGUGAGUAAUAUAUAGGUAACAUGCCCCAAAGAAGAGGAUAACGUUUGGAAACGAACGCUAAUACUCUAUAUGCCUUUAAGUCAAAAGACUGCAAGGGAAAUAUUUAUAGCUUUGGGAUUGGCCUGUACGGUAUCAGCUAGUUGGUGAGGUAAGAGCUCACCAAGGCAAUGACACCUAACUGGUUUGAGAGGAUGAUCAGUCACACUGGAACUGAGACACGGUCCAGACUCCUACGGGAGGCAGCAGUGGGGAAUAUUGCACAAUGGACGAAAGUCUGAUGCAGCAACGCCGCGUGGAGGAUGACACAUUUCGGUGCGUAAACUCCUUUUAUAUCUGAAGAUAAUGACGGUAAGAUAUGAAUAAGCACCGGCUAACUCCGUGCCAGCAGCCGCGGUAAUACGGAGGGUGCAAGCGUUACUCGGAAUUACUGGGCGUAAAGCGUGCGUAGGUGGUUUUUUAAGUGGGAUGUGAAAGCCCUAGGCUCAACCUUGGAAUUGCAUUCAGAACUGUCUGGCUAGAGUAUGGUAGAGGGUAGUGGAAUUUCCUGUGUAGCGGUGAAAUGCGUAGAUAUAGGAAGGAACACCAGUGGCGAAGGCGGCUACCUGGACCAAUACUGACGCUGAGGUGCGAAAGCGUGGGGAUCAAACAGGAUUAGAUACCCUGGUAGUCCACGCCGUAAACGAUGUCAACUAGCCGUUGGAGGACUUGAUCCUUUAGUGGCGCAGCUAACGCGAUAAGUUGACCGCCUGGGGAGUACACGGCCGCAAGGUUAAAACUAGAAUGAAUUGACGGGGGCCCGCACAAGCGGUGGAGCAUGUGGUUUAAUUCGAUGCAACGCGAAAAACCUUACCUACUCUUGACAUCCCGUGAACUUUCCAGAGAUGGAUUGGUGCCUUCGGGAACACGGUGACAGGUGCUGCAUGGCUGUCGUCAGCUCGUGUCGUGAGAUGUUGGGUUAAGUCCCAUAACGAGCGCAACCCUUGUCCUUAGUUGCCAUCGCGUAAUGGCGGGGACUCUAAGGAGAACUGCCUGGGUAACCAGGAGGAAGGUGAGGACGACGUCAAGUCAUCAUGGCCCUUACGUCCAGGGCUACACACGUGCUACAAUGGGGCAUACAAAGAGCUGCGAUACAGUGAUAUGGAGCAAAUCUUGAAAAUACUUCCCAGUUCGGAUAGUAGUCUGCAACUCGACUACUUGAAGUUGGAAUCGCUAGUAAUCGUAGAUCAGCAAUGCUACGGUGAAUACGUUCCCGGGUCUUGUACUCACCGCCCGUCACACCAUGGGAGUUGAUUUCAUUUUAAGCGGGGAUGUUAAGAUAACUACCUUCCACAGUGGAAUUAGCGACUGGGGUGAAGUCGUAACAAGGUAACCGUA
rnacentral:rRNA from 1 species